rnacentral:tRNA from 1 species
GGUCCAAUGGUCUAGAGGUAUGAUUCACCCUUAGGGACUAUGUCACUAUCUGGGUGAGGUCCCGCGUUCGAUUCGCGGUUGGACCC